rnacentral:lncRNA from 10 species
GAGGAGGAGCAUGGCGGCCGUCCUCAGUGCAUUUCCACCGCACAGGCGCGGGAGUAGAGGCGUGCAGAGGGUAAAACGGGAAGCUUCUUUAGGCCCUUGUCCUCUGUCGUCUACAUCAGACCUGCCUCGUCCCAUCCAAGCCGAUCACCUUCUGAGAGGACCUGGCCCCCGAGCUCAGGAGCACCCCAGCUCUCAGGACACAGCCCCUCGUGGUGGGACAGCGCCUGCACCUGCAGCCCUGUAGCCCCUGCACAAGGAAUUUGUUGAGGGAAUUUGUAUUUUCUGCUGCUUUCUCCUUGAACCUAUUUGCAUUUUAAAUAAUUA